AACGAACGCUGGCGGCAGGCCUAACACAUGCAAGUCGAGCGCCCUUUCGGGGGAGCGGCGGACGGGUGAGUAACGCGUGGGAAUAUGCCCUUCUCUACGGAAUAGCCUCGGGAAACUGAGAGUAAUACCGUAUACGCCCUGUGGGGGAAAGAUUUAUCGGGGAAGGAUUAGCCCGCGUUGGAUUAGGUAGUUGGUGGGGUAAUGGCCUACCAAGCCGACGAUCCAUAGCUGGUUUGAGAGGAUGAUCAGCCACACUGGGACUGAGACACGGCCCAGACUCCUACGGGAGGCAGCAGUGGGGAAUCUUAGACAAUGGGGGCAACCCUGAUCUAGCCAUGCCGCGUGAGUGAUGAAGGCCUGAGGGUUGUAAAGCUCUUUCAGCUGGGAAGAUAAUGACGGUACCAGCAGAAGAAGCCCCGGCUAACUCCGUG
rnacentral:rRNA from 1 species